rnacentral:rRNA from 1 species
AUUGAACGCUGGCGGCAGGCCUAACACAUGCAAGUCGAACGAGUGGCGGACGGGUGAGUAAUGUCUGGGAAACUGCCCGAUGGAGGGGGAUAACUACUGGAAACGGUAGCUAAUCCCGCAUACCAUCGGAUCUGUCCAGAUGGGAUUAGCUAGUCGGUGGGGUAAUGGCUCACCUAGGCGACGAUCCCUAGCUGGUCUGAGAGGAUGACCAGCCACAUUGGAACUGAGCCACGGUCCAGACUCCUACGGGAGGCAGCGGUUGGGAAUAUUGCACGAUGGGCGCAAGCCUUAUGCAGCCAUGCCGGGUGUAUGAAGAAGGCCUUCGGGUUGUAAAGUACUUUCAGCGAGGAGGCGUUACUCGCAGAAGAAGCAGCGGCUAACUCCGUGCCAGCCGCCGCGGUAAUAC